rnacentral:rRNA from 1 species
UACGUAGGGUGCAAGCGUUGUCCGGAAUUAUUGGGCGUAAAGAGCUCGUAGGCGGUUUGUCGCGUCUGCUGUGAAAACCCGAGGCUCAACCUCGGGCCUGCAGUGGGUACGGGCAGACUAGAGUGCGGUAGGGGAGAUUGGAAUUCCUGGUGUAGCGGUGGAAUGCGCAGAUAUCAGGAGGAACACCAAUGGCGAAGGCAGACUCUGGGCGUAACUGACGCUGAGGAGCGAAAGCUGGGGAGCAACAGG